UGGGGAAUCUUGCACAAUGGGGGAAACCCUGAUGCAGCGACGCCGCGUGAGCGAUGAAGGUUUUCGAAUCGUAAAGCUCUGUCCUAUGGGAAGAUAAUGACGGUACCAUAGGAGGAAGCCCCGGCUAACUACGUGCCAGCAGCCGCGGUAAUACGUAGGGGGCGAGCGUUGUCCGGAAUUACUGGGCGUAAAGGGUUCGCAGGCGGCAUGACAAGUCCGAUGUAAAAGGCGAAAGCUCAACUUUCGUAAGCAUCGGAAACUGUUAAGCUUGAGUGAAGGAGAGGCAAGUGGAAUUCCUAGUGUAGCGGUGGAAUGCGUAGAUAUUAGGAGGAAUACCGGUGGCGAAGGCGACUUGCUGGACUUCAACUGACGCUGAGGAACGAAAGCGUGGGUAGCAAACAGG
rnacentral:rRNA from 1 species